AGUAUUCAUAGGAUGACCUAUUUGGUAAAUCAUUGCUUCAGAGGCAUCGUAACAAGUUGCAAAUAGUUGACUGGUUGAGCCUAAAGUGCAUUAAAGCUUUCCAUUUCUUAUUCAAUGUUGCUCCUGAGGUGGCUUCAGAACAGAGUCAAAUUCACAGAAGGCAUUCUGGACCAGGACUGCAGAUUUAUUUUGCUGCUUUUUGGAAAGCAGACUGUAAUGAAGACAGUCAGGGGCAUUUGUAUUGUGCUGCUAGACACGAAAUCCUUGGGCUGCUGCAAGACAGCCUGGAGUGAAGGCACUGGCCAAGAAUGUUUUCAUUCCUCAGAAAUGAAAGCCAGAGGUUUGGAGAUGAUAAGAUAUUGCCCCAGUUCAGACCCUAAACAAUGCCAACUGGUGAUAAUUGUUAGGAGGGGAGUCUCUGUGAGGUAAUCAGAGCAUUUGGCU
rnacentral:ncRNA from 1 species